GUGAGUCACCAAGGGCAAGUCCCGUGACUUGGUCCUCAGGGUCUCCGGCCUCGGCACAUUAAUCUUCAGACCCGGCUUUUUCGACGCCGAGCUGCCGCCCAGCCCCAAUGGCAGGGCCUUCCAGGGAGUCCCAGUCAGACUGCUCCCCAGCUCCCGCAGCUGCUCGGUUCCUGCAAAGCCCCCGGGAGCGUUUCUACUCUCCCCUGAGCCCACGCCAUCCCGUCACUCCUAGGAAACUUUUCGCGCAGAAACUCUUGGAGAACAGCCCCGGUCGCCAGGAAAGAAGCGUACCCAGGCCGUCUGCGGUGUGCCCACCCCGAUCCCCAUCAGUGCCCCACGCACUCGAGCUCUUCCUCGGCGUCUGCAGCCUCUUCAUCCGCGCGGAGAGGCGGAGGUCUCCCAGAAACAGAGUCCGACUGUGGCACCCCAGAGCGUCCAAUGCGAGCUCAGGCCUUUCUCGCAAGUCUGGAGUUUUCUUAACCAGUUGAGGCCGCCUUCGCUGUACUCACUCCCUGCCUCCCACCCCAUCUUCUGCCACCCGACCUCCAUCUUUGAUGGUUAGCGCCUUCAGCCCUCAACAGCUUCGCACAACCAACCCCUAGAAGCCGUGGAGUCAGACCGGCCAGGGUGGGACCUAGGUUUUAACUCGGGUUCUGGCUACACACGCUGCGCCUCCAUACAGUUUGUCCCAGAUUUGGCAGCAGGCCGGCUACCUUCAGGAACUCUUUGCUUUGGCUUCUGUCUGUUCCUGUCUGUUGGGCAAGUUUCUAGCUACCCCACUGAGAGAACCAUAGAACAAGGACCCUGGCAUGGCAUACAGACAAGGAAUGUUUGCUGAAUUAAUGGAGCUGGUGCCUUGCAGCUUCCCUUUUGUUCCUUGAAGUUGCCCUUGCUCUCCUCCACAUCAGCUCCCUCUCCUCCUCAGCUACUUAUUCCCCACCCUGGCUUCUUCUAGUCUCAGUCCCCAAGUACUUGCUGAAUCCUGUAUGGACAGCCUAAGCCUCCAUUUCUGACAAUUCCUGUGGCCCCACUCCAUUUGUUUUUUAGACUUCUCCCUCCUUUUUGUCCCCAUCCCCCAAGUUAUAAAACUAUAAUGCAA